ensembl:snRNA U5 U5 spliceosomal RNA
CCACUCAUGUUUCUCUUCAUAUCGUAUAAAUCUUUCGCCUUUUACUAAAGAUUUCCGUGGGGAGGAACACUAUGAGUAUAAACUAAUUUUUUGUCGCCCCACUUUAUGGUGGGGC